AUGAGUCCGUCUCUUCCUUCACCAGCUGUCAUUGAAUCACCAGGUCCGAGCUACCCGGCCUCGGAGAACAUCUGCUUCGCCUUGAUGACCUCCGCCAUGAGCCGUGCCUCGCCGCUGCAGGUUCGUCGGCGCGACCAAGCUGCCUCCACUAAUUUGGUCAAACCGCCUACUUCACCAAGUUUCCCACGCCUGAGUGACCAACCCGCUGCUCGCCUCCACAGAGCACCAUUGACGGCUUCGAGAGUCCUUACCACACCAAGUGUGCAGAUCGCCGCCUUCGAACUGCCAUCAAGCCGACCACGAGCCGCCCUUGCCGUGGCUAGCCGUUAA
rnacentral:rRNA from 1 species